UUGGCUUCCCCCCUCUCGCUUUUCACUUUCCCUCUCGCUCAUUCUCUUUCCCUCUCACUUGUUUUCUCAAUUGAAUCCCAAAAACCAUCAAAGCCCUAAUUUCUAACUUCUGGACUCACUGCGUUUCAUCUCUGCUCAGAGUCGGUGGCCGUCUCGCACUCCAAGCUCCGAUUCGUUCUUCCAGGCUCUGAUUUGGUGUGUUGGUGGUGGUUGUCUCGCACUCAACAUCAUUGUUCCUCUUCCAGGCUCUGAUUUGGUGUUGGUGGUGGCCCUCUCGCACUCAACAUCAUUGUUUGGACGCCAGUGUUAAGUUUCUCAUUGUGUUUGUGACCUGUGUUCGUGACACUCUCUAUUGUGGUUCAGGUUAGCGAUGUAGGCUCCCCGAAUGAAGUAAGGCGAUCUUCAUCCGCCAGUCAUCAACCUGUAAACAAUGGACCAUCUACUUAGUUUUAUGUAAGGUGAACAUGUUCUAAUGGGAGGGAGCA